rnacentral:lncRNA from 1 species
UGGUUGCUUUUUUGUGUGUGGGGUAAGAGAACCUAAAACUACUCUCUUAGCAAUUAUCCUGAGCAUGAUACAAUAUUAUUAUCUAUAGUACUCAUGUUGUACAUUCAAUCUCUAGACUUAUUCAUCCUAUACUUGCAAGCUCUUUUUGAUUUAAAACAUUGGCUGCUCACUAGCCAGAGUCCUCAUUAUCUGUAAUACAUAUUCCUCCACUUGGUUUUUAUUUUAUUUAACUCUCUAGUAUGCUAUUUAGUCUGAUUUUUAAAAUUCUUCAUGUAUUCAACCCAAGUUUUGCCAGUAUAACUAGGUAUGUAUGGAUAGGGACAGACAUAUUUUUCCAUGUACAACUCAGCUACCUAUUUUAUUUUUUCCUCAAAGUUUGUUGAUUUUGGCUUUGCAAGAUCUAUAUUAAAGGGACAGUUUUCCCCACCCUCUUUCUUAUUAAUUAAGUCAUUCCUUUCCUGAAGUAAAGACCAUCAGAAAGGACCAUUGCCAGGUGCUGUUUUCUUUUUCUUUUCUUUUUUUUUUUUUUGAGACAUUGUCUCGCCCUGUUGCCCAGGCUGGAGUGCACUGGCGCGAUCACUGCAAGCUCUGCCUCCUGGGUUCACGCCAUUCUCCUGCCUCAGCCUUCUGAGUAGCUGGGACUACAGGCACCUGCCACCACGCCCAGCUAAUUUUUUUGUAGUUUUAGUACAGACGGGGUUUCACCAUGUUAGCCAGCAUGGUCUCGAUCUCCUGACCUCGUGAUCCGCCCGCCUCAGCCUCCCAGUGCUUGUUUCUUUUUACGUCUCACACUUUUAAUUUUUCUCCCUAUUAAAAGGAUGUCCUUUUGUUUCGAACUGAUGUCCAGAUUCAAAUGAACUGCCUUAGUCCAUUUUGUGCUACUACAACAGAAUAUCAGAGACUGGGUUAUUUAUUUAUUUUUAAUUUUAAAUUUCUUUUUUUACAAAGACCAGGUCUUGCUCUGUUGACUAGGCUGGUCUUGAACCCCUGACCUGAAGAGAUCCUCCUCCCUCAGCAUCCCAAAGUGCUGGGAUUCCAAGUGUGAGCCCAGCUAAGGCUGAGUCAUUUAUAAAGAAAAACAAAUUAUUUGGCUCAUGGUUUUGGAGGUUGGGACAUCCAAGAUAGAGGGUCAGCAUCUGGUGAGGACCUUCUUACUGGGUCAUCCCAUAGUGGAAAGGGGAUGGGCAAAAGAGCAUGUACCAGAGAAUGAGCAACAGGGACCAAACUUGUUUUUAUAACAAACCCAAUCUCUCUAUAACAAACCCA